rnacentral:lncRNA from 1 species
GAACAGUGAAAGGCCUUGUACAGUUUCCCUGUACCUUGGUUUUCUCCAAGGAAAAUAGUUAAUAACUGGUCAGAAUGGGAGGUUGUUUUUUAUUCAAAACCUUAAAAAUCUUGGCUUAAGAGAAAUAGAAGUAAAAACUCUUUAAGUUUUUUGUUCUUGCUUUCUAGUAGGACAGAGUGGAUCGGCCAGCACUGUGUAUUGAUCCGGUGAGAGAAAAGAAAAAAAGGAAUAUUACGGAGACACAAUUACAUGCAACUUGCAGAGCUGUCCUGUUUUCCUAUUUUAAACUAGUUUGUUGAAAUUUGUCUAAAAAUCCGAACAAAAACACAAUUUAGUUUAUCCCAGAUCCAUUAGGAAGACAUUAAGCUAAAGAAAAUUAAAGCCACUAUUCAAACAAAGGCAGGGAAUUAGACCCCAUGCAGACAAAGCCGGUAGGGAAGCCGGACACCAGUUCAGCAAAGUUGUCUUGAGGGCUAAAGCUUCACCUUGUCAAUUCUUAGCUCUUACUAAAUUCUUUCUUUCUAAAUCCAGAGAGAAUACACCGAGAACAAUUCAGAUCACCUGUGCCAUUACUGAGGAUUAAGGAGCAAAGAGUCUACAUCAUUUCUUAAUUAGAAGUCGAGGGGAAUGGGAUUGGGGCAUCAUUAAGCAAACAAAGCAAAGCGCCCGGUACAAUAGGUGUGCAAGUCAGUGACUGGCUCUGGCCCAUGAAAGCAAGGCAAACUCUACACAAGAAGCCCUGUACAGGUCUCCAAGCACUUGGACUGCAAUGCUUCCAGCUCCCCUGGGCCCAGCAGCGUGAACCCAGCUGGGGAUAGCCCUGGAGGUCUGAAGAGGAGAAAAUGCUUUGGAUGCCACCAAGGGAGCAGGCACUGGUUGCUGCUGGAAGAUGGCACAUCUCUCACACAGCUCUGCCUGUGUAAUGCUGCCUGAUUUGCGUAGGACCUAAUCCAUGAGCACCACCUCGAAAAUACCAAGCAGCCCCAACACCCUUUAAAAGACAGCCGGA